ACAAUUAAUGAACUAGUGGCUUAAUGUGGUAGCACUAGUCCACGUGGGUGCAUGGGCUGAAGAGAAAGUGAUGACUAUUACCACCUAUAUGUAUCUAUCUAGACUUGUUGCAAAACACAAGGACUAAUUGGGUGGGCCCCACUGCCAUAAAGGUAAGUUUACUCACCUAUUUUUCUUAUAUAUCCUACUGAAGGUAAAGGAAGUUUCAGAUUUCAAUUUUUAGGGAGGAGCAACGUACAGUGCAUUUUCUUUCUUUCUAAAGAAUAAAGCAAAACAUUAUUUCUCUUUUGGAAAGAAAAAUCAUAUGGAAUUGGGGCAGCAACCUUCUUGCACGAGAUUCAUUCUCAUAUGAAAUUACAUAUUCACAUGGAGUAUUUUAAACCAGCAACGUGAAUUCUUUUGGCAAGCAUCAACAUGUUUUAUUCUAUUUUAGGCAGAUUGGGGAAAAAGGAAAAUUUGAGGUGUGAAAUUGUUGUAACAUUCAAGUGAUUAGCAAGGUUAAGAAGCCAAGUUGAUUAAGGCUAAAAGAGCGACGAGACGAACGGAUUACGAAUAGCCGCUAACAGGUACAGACGCACAGUUUGGUGAUCCACCAGUUUAGGACACCCUCUUCUGCUGUUUGGAGCGCUCCUCUUAUUCCGGAGCCUACAUUUUGGUAUAUAUACUUGUUUGAUGCAUAUGUAUAUAUUUGUUCAGGGGUAUGGCGGGGCCCUGUUCUGCCAUAUGUUUCUGUUGGUCUGUUUAGAGGUCUGUAGACGUAUUUGUGGGUGUGUGUGCCUACUCCUGUACGGGUGUGUUUGGUAUGAUCCCAUUCGUUAUGGCAGCCUUGUCGGCGUGCAUUCGUAUAUGUGUUUUGGGCCGUUGUGCCAUUUGAUAGCCUUGUCAGCUUUUGAUACAUUUGAUAGCCUUGUCGGCUUUUGGUACAUUUGAUAGCCUUGUCGGCUUUUGAUACAUUUGACAGCCUUGCCGGCUUUUUGAUAUCUGUAUAUGCAUAUGGUUGCGUUUGAAAUAUGUCUAAGACA